CUGAUAUUGGAAUUGGCUUGCUAGGAGCCUACAGAAGGCUCCGACUAAGGACUGAUCUAGACCAUAUAUAUAGAGACAGGACGCCGGCCAAUCCCUGUCUCUAAGGCUCGGGUGCCUGCAUUCAUACUGACUUCUCAUUCAUUACCACACAUCUUAGAGGGCGAGCGAAUUCAGCGGAGAUUUAUAUGCUUUCAAGGGAGGGAUUGUGAUGCAAGUGUCAAUUUCUGAAGAUGUUAUGCCCUUACAGAACCAGCAGUAACUUGUGGCAAGAGUAAGAAGCUAAGGAAUUUGCCCAUGAACGGCCAAUUAGCUGAUCAGGAUGAAGAAAGCAGGAGACUCAGUUUGAGCGAGAUUGGAUACAAAAAAUUGGGGAUGGUUGAGAGGCGUGGAUACAAGUAACCGCUAUAACAACCCAUCAGGUGCAGGCAGCACACCAGCAGUCCUCUCACAGAGCAACAAGCGCAGUGCAUCGACGUUUCUUUUAUAACCGCACGGGGGAAACAUCGGAUAAAGACCCCGCAACUUUGUCCCGUUGGGAUUGGUUUAGGGUUUCAAUAACGCAUGUUUUUUCUUACUCCCAUCCCCCCACAUGCCACGUCAUCAACCGCUUUCCAUUUAACAAAUGUUUCUAACUAUAGCGUCUUGGCGAUGUGGGACUUCCUCUCAUGGCCAAGAAACCUCAUGGUUAGGCAGAUUGACGGUGAUAAGGAUGAGCCAGCAGAUUGAAGGCUCAAGAUGUUGUCAUUGUGUUUCUCCAGUUUUAAACAUAAAUGUGUUGUAGUUGUGGUUGUAUUUUCUCCAUUUUAUUUUACAACAUUUUGAAUCCU